GACGUAGGGCGCGGAGCGUUGUCCGGAUUUAUUGGGCGUAAAGAGCUCGUAGGCGGCUUGUCGCGUCGUCCGUGAAAACCUGCAGCUCAACUGCAGGCUUGCGGGCGAUACGGGCAGGCUGAGUUCGGUAGGGGAGACUGGAAUCCUGGUGUGAGCGGUGAAUGCGCAGAUAUCAGGAGGAACACCAAUUGCGAAGGCAGCUCGCUGGGACGUUACUGACGCUGAGACGCGAAAGCGUGGGGAGCAAACAGG
rnacentral:rRNA from 1 species